rnacentral:rRNA from 1 species
UACGGAGGGUGCAAGCGUUAUCCGGAUUCACUGGGUUUAAAGGGUGCGUAGGCGGACAGGUAAGUCAGUGGUGAAAUCUCUGGGCUUAACUCAGAAACUGCCGUUGAUACUAUUUGUCUUGAAUGUCAUGGAGGUAAGCGGAAUAUGUCAUGUAGCGGUCAAAUGCUUAGAUAUGACAUAGAACACCGAUAGCGAAGGCAGCUUACUACAUGAAGAUUGACGCUGAGGCACGAAAGCGUGGGGAGCAAACAGG